UACAGUGACCGAUUUCAAGAUCAUCUAACUGAAAAACAUGUUUUCGAUGCCGAUCGAACGCAACUGUUUUCGAAACAAUCACUCGCAAUGCUUCCGAUUGUGUAGCCGUAAACGUAAACUGAAGCAGCCUUCGCCUAGCGUGUUUUGCUCAGUAAACGAACAGAAUCGGGAACGGCAACAUCAAAUAAGAAAUAGAGGUAGAAACAGUGCUGAUAUCGCUCAUUGGAACACGGCCUUUCUGUGCGCAUACGAAUGGAGGGAUAAAGUGUUAUCGAAAUGAGAUUGUUAAGAUAAAUGGGAAAGCAAUGAAGCUAUCAAAGGCGAUGAAUCUCGAUGGGAAAAGUUGCAAGGGAAAAUCCAUAAUCUUUCGACACCAUGAUGAAUUGGACUAACUUCUGCCGAAUGAAAGUUAAUUGUUCCAUCGUUUCUUCGAUACCUCUCCACCGAUUUCAACGAACAUGAUACAACGAAGCUAGCGACGCCGGCAGACGGAUAGCGAAGAAAACGGAGGCUACGUGGAAAUCUUCGGGACGCCAAGUGAAUUAUUGUCAGUCUAGCCAAGAGAAGAAUAGCGUCGUGGAUCCUUGACACUUUGACAGUCGUCGGGACGCAAGGUAGACGCGCAAGGGAAGGGAAAGGGUGGAGCAAAGAGUGGAAAACCGCGACCAUCCCCUUACUCUCGUCUUCCUCCUCCUCGUCUAUACUCGUCAUUGACAGCUGUCAGCCGUCAGCGUUGGAAAGUUUUACGAGGACGAAAGUUGAU